AAUGUGAUGAGUCAAAUCAGUGCAGCAGCAGGUCCUGCUCAGAAGAGAGGGAGUCAAAGAUGCCUGUCACAUCCACCUGAGGAAUGGUCAGCAAGACAAUGCAGCAACCAAGAACUCCACAUUGAGGAGAACCUUAAGCUGCAGUGCUCAUCAUCUCUUUUCUUAGAUUUCCUCUAUAGAGUGUUGACUACUUAGAGCAUUCCUGAACGGAUGUUCAGGACCCCUACAGGAUUAGGAUGAUCCUGUCUGUGGAGUGAAUAAUUACCUAUAGUAAAAGCUAUGCAGGAAAUUGCCUGAUGGAAAGGCUGCUGCGACACAAGUGACCUUCCGACUUCAUCUUCAUAUAUAAUCAUUCUGCCCUAGAGUCUUUCUGGACAAGAGAACCCCACACUGAGGAGAACCUUAAGCUUCAGUGCUCAUCAUCUCUUUUCUCAGAUUUCUUCUAUAGAGUGUUGACUACUUAGAGGUAUAGCAUUCAAGAACAUCCUCUGACAUUCAGAAUCCCUGUAGGACUAGGAUGAUCCUGUCUGUGGAGUGAAUAAUUACCUAUAGUAAAAGCUAUGCAGGAAAUGGCCUGAUGGAAAGGCUGUUGUGACACAACUGACCUUUUGACUUCAUCUUCAUAUAUAAUCAUUCUGCCCUAGAGUCUUUCUGGACAAGAGCAUUCAAGAUUUACCACUACAAAUCAACCUCAACUCGGAAAUUCAACUAUUUAUGUAAUACCUUCUCUUUUCCAUGUAUAGACAUCAUCACCAAGGAAUAAGAAUGAUAUUUUGUACGGUGUCUAUGUUUGUAUACUUGU